UACGUAGGUGGCAAGCGUUGUCCGGAUUUAUUGGGUUUAAAGGGUGCGUAGGCGGUCUUAUAAGUCAGUGCUGAAAUAUCCCGGCUUAACCGGGAUGGUGGCAUUGAUACUGUAGGACUUGAGUAAAGUUGAGGUUGGCGGAAUUGACGGUGUAGCGGUGAAAUGCUUAGAUAUCGUCAAGAACACCGAUAGUGUAGACAUCUAACUAAGCUUUAACUGACGCUGAGGCACGAAAGUGUGGGGAUCAAACAGG
rnacentral:rRNA from 1 species